rnacentral:snoRNA from 1 species
UGGCCGUGAUGACAAGAAUCAUUUCUCGAUCCUGACUAAAGAUAGGACCUUUGAGAUUUUUGUAUGAUUUUUAAUUAUAUUCAUGUCUCUUUGUGAUGAGCUUUUGUGCGUGUCUGAGCCGU